GGAGGUAUGGCACAAUGGUACUGCAGCUGAUUACUAAUCAGCCGACCGCAAGGUCUUGGGGGUUCGAAUCCCUCUACCUCCGCCA
rnacentral:tRNA from 1 species